rnacentral:rRNA from 1 species
GACGAACGCUGGCGGCGUGCCUAAUACAUGCAAGUCGAACGAGAGCGACCGGUGCUUGCACUGGUCAAUCUAGUGGCGAACGGGUGAGUAACACGUGGGUAACCUGCCCAUCAGAGGGGGAUAACAUCCGGAAACGGAUGCUAAAACCGCAUAGGUCUUCGAGCCGCAUGGCUUGAAGAGGAAAAGAGGCGCAAGCUUCUGCUGAUGGAUGGACCCGCGGUGCAUUAGCUAGUUGGUGAGGUAACGGCUCACCAAGGCCGUGAUGCAUAGCCGACCUGAGAGGGUGAUCGGCCACAUUGGGACUGAGACACGGCACAAACUCCUACGGGAGGCAGCAGUAGGGAAUCUUCCGCAAUGGACGCAAGUCUGACGGAGCAACGCCGCGUGAGUGAAGAAGGUUUUCGGAUCGUAAAACUCUGUUGUUAGAGAAGAACAAGUGCUAGAGUAACUGUUAGCGCCUUGACGGUAUCUAACCAGAAAGCCACGGCUAACUACGUG